UCUCGAAGGAUGGUUCCAUCUCAAGCACACCCUUCUAUCCUAACGCUUGAGCCACUGCCUUCGUUUUCCUGAAAAGAGAAAGUGUGUGUGUGUGUGUGUGUGUGUGUGAGAGAGAGAGAGAGAGAGAGAGAGAGAGAGAGAGGCAACGAGUAAGUAUGCUGGUGUUUGGUGGGUCUCGAUUAUCUGGAAUACUGUAACUCUUUUUUCUUUCUUGGAUAGAAGCAAUCAGUGGGACUAAAACUUCCUAAAGCCAUCAUAAGCAGCGAAGUCAAGAGAGAGUGCGAAGUUCGUGAUAUAUUCGAGGCGACGUUUAUGGCGUCAUCCAACGAGCAGUCAUCAUUGGUAAUGGAUUUUCGACUUCCGAAAACCAAAGCAUUGACUUCGUACGCAUCCUAGGCGUUACGGAAAAACUAAUUCUUUAUGUAAGUAUUGAAUCUGAAUACUCUUUUUAAUUUUCUUUUUCUCGUGGGGUUUGUUCAAUAGUCAGUAAAAAAAUUGUGAAAAUUUGAUUUGAACUGAUGAUGUAUUGUUUUUAAGGGUUCUUUUAAUGUUUUAUUUAUAUGUUUAGGAGUUUUGUUAUAAUGCAGUGGAGAGUUAGGAAAUAUUGAAUUGAAUUUAUGAUGCAUUGGAUUUAUGGAUUAUUUUAUUUUACUAAUUCAGUUGGAGUGUUUUGGAGAUGAUAUUCAUAGAUUUUUUGUUUAGACUUUUGAUAUUAUGUUUUGUAAUUAAAAAGUUAUUAGUCAUUGGAAUCUUCAAUGUUGAGGUACAGUACGCACCAUUUGGCUGGGUGCAAGUUUUUUUCUUUCUUUCCUUUUUUUUUCUCUUCUGUUUCUUGAUGUUGUUGGUUUUGUUUUUGGGUUCAUUACUUGGAAAAUGAUU
rnacentral:lncRNA from 1 species